GAUGAAGAACGCAGCGAAAUGCGAUAAGUAGUGUGAAUUGCAGAAUUCAGUGAAUCAUCGAAUCUUUGAACGCACAUUGCGCCCGCCAGUAUUCUGGCGGGCAUGCCUGUUCGAGCGUCAUUUCAACCAUCAAGCCCCAGGCUUGUGUUGGGGUCCUGCGGCUGCCGCAGGCCCUGAAAAACAGUGGCGGGCUCGCUGUCACACCGAGCGUAGUAAUACAUCUCGCUUUGGACGUGCGGCGGGUUCUUGCCGUUAAACACCCCCCUUCUCAAGGUUGACCUCGGAUCAGGUAGGAAUACCCGCUGAACUUAAGCAUAUCAAUAAGCGGAGGA
rnacentral:misc_RNA from 1 species